rnacentral:rRNA from 1 species
AUUAGAUUUUUAAUAGGAAUCUUGUAUGAAAGGGUUGACAAUUUUUUAGCUUUUUUAAUUUAAACAUAGAAUUUUAUAGUCAAGUAAAAAAGCUUGACUUUUUAGAGGGACGACAAGACCCUAUAAAGCUUAACUAAGAAAUUUCAAAUUAAUAAGAAAAAUUAACCAUAACUUAGUUGCACUGGGGCGGUAAUUAACGAACCUUAAUAAAAAUAACUUUAUAAAAGAAUUUAUAGAUCCUUUAGGAUAUUAGAUCAAGCUACUUUAGGGAUAACAGCGCAAUUUUUUUGGAUAGAUCUUAUUGAUAAAAAAGACUUGCGACCUCGAUGUUGAAGCCCAGUUGGCUCCCAGUUGGGAGCCAUAUGGGAAUUGAUCUUUCCUGAUCAUAAAGACACAAUUCCCCCUUCAUAUUUUUUGCUAGAUUAAGUAGCCAUAAUCUUAUAGGGAGUCUGUUCGACUUUUAAUUCCUCA